rnacentral:rRNA from 1 species
UACGUAGGGACCAAGCGUUGUUCGGAUUUACUGGGCGUAAAGGGCGCGUAGGCGGCAAUUCAAGUCAUCUGUGAAAUCUCCGGGCUUAACUCGGAACGGUCAGAUGAUACUGCUUUGCUAGAGUACAGAAGGGGCAAUCGGAAUUCUUGGUGUAGCGGUGAAAUGCGUAGAUAUCUGGAGGAACACCGGUGGCGAAGGCGGCAUCCUGGAC